GACGAACGCUGGCGGCGUGCUUAACACAUGCAAGUCGAACGGAAAGGCCCUGCUUUUGUGGGGUGCUCGAGUGGCGAACGGGUGAGUAACACGUGAGUAACCUGCCCUUGACUUUGGGAUAACUUCAGGAAACUGGGGCUAAUACCGGAUAGGAGCUCCUGCUGCAUGGUGGGGGUUGGAAAGUUUCGGCGGUUGGGGAUGGACUCGCGGCUUAUCAGCUUGUUGGUGGGGUAGUGGCUUACCAAGGCUUUGACGGGUAGCCGGCCUGAGAGGGUGACCGGCCACAUUGGGACUGAGAUACGGCCCAGACUCCUACGGGAGGCAGCAGUGGGGAAUAUUGCACAAUGGGCGAAAGCCUGAUGCAGCAACGCCGCGUGCGGGAUGACGGCCUUCGGGUUGUAAACCGCUUUCGCCUGUGACGAAGCGUGAGUGACGGUAAUGGGUAAAGAAGCACCGGCUAACUACGUGCCAGCAGCCGCGGUGAUACGUAGGGUGCGAGCGUUGUCCGGAUUUAUUGGGCGUAAAGGGCUCGUAGGUGGUUGAUCGCGUCGGAAGUGUAAUCUUGGGGCUUAACCCUGAGCGUGCUUUCGAUACGGGUUGACUUGAGGAAGGUAGGGGAGAAUGGAAUUCCUGGUGGAGCGGUGGAAUGCGCAGAUAUCAGGAGGAACACCAGUGGCGAAGGCGGUUCUCUGGGCCUUUCCUGACGCUGAGGAGCGAAAGCGUGGGGAGCGAACAGGCUUAGAUACCCUGGUAGUCCACGCUGUAAGCGGUGGGUACUAGGUGUGGGGUCCAUUCCACGGGUUCCGUGCCGUAGCUAACGCUUUAAGUACCCCGCCUGGGGAGUACGGCCGCAAGGCUAAAACUCAAAGGAAUUGACGGGGCCCCGCACAAGCGGCGGAGCAUGCGGAUUAAUUCGAUGCAACGCGUAGAACCUUACCUGGGUUUGACAUGGAUCGGGAGCGCUCAGAGAUGGGUGUGCCUCUUUUGGGGUCGGUUCACAGGUGGUGCAUGGCUGUCGUCAGCUCGUGUCGUGAGAUGUUGGGUUAAGUCCCGCAACGAGCGCAACCCUUGUUCACUGUUGCCAGCACGUUAUGGUGGGGACUCAGUGGAGACCGCCGGGGUCAACUCGGAGGAAGGUGGGGAUGACGUCAAGUCAUCAUGCCCCUUAUGUCCAGGGCUUCACGCAUGCUACAAUGGCUGGUACAGAGAGUGGCGAGCCUGUGAGGGUGAGCGAAUCUCGGAAAGCCGGUCUCAGUUCGGAUUGGGGUCUGCAACUCGACCUCAUGAAGUCGGAGUCGCUAGUAAUCGCAGAUCAGCAACGCUGCGGUGAAUACGUUCCCGGGGCU
rnacentral:rRNA from 1 species